rnacentral:rRNA from 1 species
UUGAACGCUGGCGGCAGGCCUAACACAUGCAAGUCGAGCGGAUGAAGGGAGCUUGCUCCUGGAUUCAGCGGCGGACGGGUGAGUAAUGCCUAGGAAUCUGCCUGGUAGUGGGGGAUAACGUCCGGAAACGGGCGCUAAUACCGCAUACGUCCUGAGGGAGAAAGUGGGGGAUCUUCGGACCUCACGCUAUCAGAUGAGCCUAGGUCGGAUUAGCUAGUUGGUGGGGUAAAGGCCUACCAAGGCGACGAUCCGUAACUGGUCUGAGAGGAUGAUCAGUCACACUGGAACUGAGACACGGUCCAGACUCCUACGGGAGGCAGCAGUGGGGAAUAUGGGACAAUGGGCGAAAGCCUGAUCCAGCCAUGCCGCGUGUGUGAAGAAGGUCUUCGGAUUGUAAAGCACGUUAAGGUGGGAGGAAGGGCAGUAAGUUAAUACCUUGCUGUUUUGACGUUACCAACAGAAUAAGCACCGGCUAACUUCGUG